AUUUUAGGGUUUCCAGGUGUGAUUGGCUGCAUAGAUGGCACUCACAUUCCUAUCAUCGCUCCUUCAAUAAAUGAAGGAGAUUAUGUGAAUAGGAAAUCUGUCCACAGCAUUAAUGUGCAGAUCAUAUGUGAUGGAGCCCACAUGAUUAACAAUGUGGAAGCGAAGUGGCCUGGGUCUGUGCAUGACUCAUGAAUGUUUCGUGAGUCGACACUGAGUGCCAGAUUUGCCGGUGUAGAGUUCGAUGGUUACCUACUCGGAGACAGAGGGUACCCCUGCCAGCGCUAUCUGCUGACCCCUUACCCUGACCCUGAGCCUGGCCCACAGCGACACUACAACUUGGCUCACUGCAGGACACGAGCCAGAGUGGAGAUGACCAUCGGGAUACUCAAGGCCCGGUUCCAGUGCCUUCGUAGGCUCAGGGUCACCCCAGAGAGAGCUUGUGACAUUAUAGUGGCAUGUGUGGUUCUCCACAACAUUGCCACUAUUAGAGGAGAACAAUGUCCUACUCUUUCCCCCUGUGAUCCAGGUAUUAAUCAUACCCCCCCUGCUGAUACACGAGAUGGAAGAGCUGUUAGAGACAUGAUAUGUGUCAAUCAUUUCUAACUGACCCAUCACCUCCCCAAUGUUCAAGAACGACAAUAUGCAUCUCAUUUUAUGAGGUCUUCUUUAUUUCCUAGAAGGACAAAUUUUGUACAGUUGUUAAUCCUUUGUUGUUGAAACAAUUAAAAAACAUCCACCUGUGGGCACGUCACCCACCUUUAA